rnacentral:rRNA from 1 species
GACGAACGCUGGCGGCGUGCUUAACACAUGCAAGUCGAACGAAGAGCGAUGGAAGCUUGCUUCUAUCACUCUUAGUGGCGCACGGGUGAGGAACGCGUAAUCAACCUGCCCUUCAGAGGGGGACAACAGUUGGAAACGACUGCUAAUACCGCAUACGAUCUAAUCUCGGCAUCGAGGAUAGAUGAAAGGUGGCCUCUACAUGUAAGCUAUCACUGAAGGAGGGGAUUGCGUCUGAUUAGCUAGUUGGAGGGGUAACGGCCCACCAAGGCGAUGAUCAGUAGCCGGUCUCAGAGGAUGAACGGCCAAAGUGGGACUGAGACACGGCCCAGACUCCUACGGGAGGCAGCAGUGGGGAAUCUUACGCAAUGGACGACAUUCUGACGGAGCAACGCCGCGUGAGCGAUGACGGCCUUCGGGUUGUAAAGCUCUGUUAAUCGUGACGAAUGGCCUCCUUGAGAAUAGUGAGAAGGAUUGACGGUACCGUAAGAGAAAGCCACGGCUAACUACGUG